rnacentral:rRNA from 6 species
CCGCGACCCCAGGUCAGGCGGGAUUACCCGCUGAGUUU